UACAGAGGGUGCAAGCGUUAAUCGGAAUUACUGGGCGUAAAGGGCGCGUAGGCGGUUGAAUGAGUCGGUUGUGAAAUCCCCGGGCUUAACCUGGGAACUGCAAUUGAUACUGUUUAGCUAGAGUCGAAGAGAGGGGAGCGGAAUUUCCGGUGUAGCGGUGAAAUGCGUAGAUAUCGGAAGGAACAUCAGUGGCGAAGGCGGCUCCCUGGCUUCAGACUGACGCUGAGGCGCGAAAGCGUGGGUAGCGAACAGG
rnacentral:rRNA from 1 species